GAUCAAGCAAUAAAGAGCAUAGGGUGGAUGCCUUGGCACCAGACGCCGAUGAAGGACGUGGUAAGCUGCGAAAAGCUGCGGGGAGUUGCAAGCAAACAUUGAUCCGCAGAUGUCCGAAUGGGGAAACCCAUCUGCCGUAGUGGGCAGAUAUCCGUACAUGAAUACAUAGUGUGCGGAAGGGAGACUCGGGGAACUGAAACAUCUAAGUACCCGAAGGAAGAGAAAGAAAGUAUCGAUUUUCUGAGUAGCGGCGAGCGAAAGGGAAACAGCCCAAACCGAGGCCUACGGGCGUCGGGGUUGCGGACGAGCCAUAGAGUAAGAGGUAGCCUAGUCAAAGAGUGCUGGAAAGCGCCGCCGUAGAGGGUGAUAGCCCCGUAGACGAAAGGUGAAGACUGAAAGAGCUCGAUCCAGAGUACCACGGGACACGUGAAAUCCUGUGGGAAGCAGGGAGGACCAUCUCCCAAGGCUAAAUACGAUCUGGUGACCGAUAGCGCAUAGUACCGUGAGGGAAAGGUGAAAAGAACCCCGGGAGGGGAGUGAAAUAGAACCUGAAACCCUAUGUUUACAAGCAGUGGAAGCGCCUGAAGACGCGCGACCACGUACUUUUUGUAGAACGGGCCAACGAGUUACGUUACGCAGCAAGGUUAAGUGCUUAAGGUACGGAGCCGAAGCGAAAGCGAGUCUGAAUAGGGCGAAAGUUGUGUGACGUAGACCCGAAACCGGGUGACCUAUCCAUGAGCAGAGUGAAGCAAAAGUAAAAUUUUGUGGAGGCUCGAACCCAUGUCUGUUGAAAAAGGCUGGGAUGACUUGUGGAUAGCGGAGAAAUUCCAAUCGAACUCGGAGAUAGCUGGUUCUCCCCGAAAUAGCUUUAGGGCUAGCCUUAAAGAAUGAGACACGGAGGUAGAGCACUGAAUGGCCUAGGGGCUUUCACCGGCUACCGAAGCUUAUCAAACUCCGAAUGCCGUGAUCUUAACUUUAGGAGUCAGACCAUGUGUGAUAAGAUUCAUGGUCGAAAGGGAAACAGCCCAGACCGUCAGCUAAGGUCCCAAAAUGCAGGUUAAGUGGAAAAGGAUGUGGAAUUGCACAGACAACUAGGAUGUUGGCUUAGAAGCAGCCAUACAUUUAAAGAGUGCGUAAUAGCUCACUAGUCGAGUGGUUCUGCGCCGAAAAUGUCCGGGGCUAAAACCUGCUACCGAAGCUACGGCUUGAUGCUUAUGCAUCAGGGGUAGGGGAGCAUUGUGUAAGGGCAGAAGGUAUACCGAAAGGCGUGCUGGACAUUACACAAGAGAGAAUGUUGGCAUGAGUAGCGAGAGGCAGGUGAGAAUCCUGCCCGCCGAAAAUCUAAGGUUUCCUGGGGAAGGUUCGUCCGCCCAGGGUAAGUCAGGACCUAAGCUGAGGACGAAAGUCGUAGGCGAUGGACAACAGGUGAAGAGUCCUGUACCGCCAAAUAGCGUUUGAGAGAUGGAGUGACGCAGGAGGAUAGGCAGAGCGCACGGUUGGAAGAGUGCGUCCAAGGGCGAAGUCUGUACGGGGAGGCAAAUCCCCCUGUAUAAGGAUGACGCUUGACGGGGAGUGAAACUAAGUAACGAAGCUGCUGAUUUCAGACUGACAAGAAAAGCUUCUAUCGAGUUAUAAGGCGCCUGUACCGCAAUCCGACACAGGUAGAUGAGUAGAGAAUACUAAGGCGAGCGAGAGAACCAUUGUUAAGGAACUCGGCAAAAUAACCCCGUAACUUCGGGAGAAGGGGUGCCCCAGACGGUGUCAAAGCCGACUGGGGCCGCAGAAAACAGGCCCAAGCGACUGUUUAACAAAAACACAGGUCUCUGCUAAAUCGAAAGAUGAUGUAUAGGGGCUGACGCCUGCCCGGUGCUGGAAGGUUAAGAGGAAGUGUCAGAGCGAUCGAAGCACUGAAUUGAAGCCCCAGUAAACGGCGGCCGUAACUAUAACGGUCCUAAGGUAGCGAAAUUCCUUGUCGGGUAAGUUCCGACCCGCACGAAAGGCGUAACGAUUUGGGCACUGUCUCAACAAUGGACUCGGUGAAAUUGUAGUAUGGGUAAAGAUGCCCAUUACCCGCAGCAGGACGGAAAGACCCCGUGGAGCUUUACUGUAGCUUGGCACUGAACAUUGGUAUUGGAUGUACAGGAUAGGUGGGAGACUAAGAGGCAUGGACGCCAGUCUGUGCGGAGUCAACGUUGGGAUACCACCCUUUCAAUAUCGCUGUUCUAACCCGAAGCCGUGAUCCGGCUUGGGGACACUGCCAGGUGGGCAGUUUGACUGGGGCGGUCGCCUCCCAAAAUGUAACGGAGGCGCUCAAAGGUUCCCUCAGUGCGGUUGGAAAUCGCGCGAAGAGUGCAAAGGCAAAAGGGAGCUUGAUUGCGAGACAGACAAGUCGAGCAAGUACGAAAGUAGGACUUAGUGAUCCGGCGGUACCGAAUGGAAGGGCCGUCGCUCAACGGAUAAAAGCUACCCCGGGGAUAACAGGCUUAUCUCCCCCAAGAGUCCACAUCGACGGGGAGGUUUGGCACCUCGAUGUCGGCUCGUCUCAUCCUGGGGCUGAAGUAGGUCCCAAGGGUUGGGCUGUUCGCCCAUUAAAGAGGCACGCGAGCUGGGUUCAGAACGUCGUGAGACAGUUCGGUCCCUAUCCGCUGUGGGCGCAGGAAAUUUGAGAGGCGCUGUCCUUAGUACGAGAGGACCGGGAUGGACGCACCGCUGGUGUAUCGGUUGUUCCGCCAGGAGCACGGCCGAGUAGCUAUGUGCGGCAGGGAUAAGCGCUGAAGGCAUCUAAGCGCGAAGCCCCCCUCAAGAUGAGAUUUCCCAUUCGAAAGAAGUAAGACCCCUGAUAGACUAACAGGUUGAUAGGUCUGAGGUGUAAGAGCGG
rnacentral:rRNA from 1 species